rnacentral:lncRNA from 1 species
CCAAAUUGUUGACCAAACCAACCUUUUACGUGAUCCACCAUUUCUAUUACUACUAGCCAUAAUUAUUCAAAUUGGAACUUGGCAAGUCAUCCCUUAUAGUCCAUAAAUUGUUAUCAAUGAGCCAUUAUGUUAUCCUUUAAUAUACAUUCCACCAUUUUUGUGAGUAAUGUAAUAAAAUUGACUAUUUAAUCUUAUUAAUUUCACAAUAUCAUUCUCUCUUAUUUCUCACAGCCAUUUCCCUCACAAUUAGGAUGUUUUGUUACGUUACCCUAUUGUUCCUUGAUUUCAUAUUUUAUUAAAAUGGAGUAAGCAACAAAUACACGUCUACCUAGCCUCGGUUCACAAAUGAACAUUUUGCGCCCC